AUGGAUGCGAUGAUUGGGAUAGUACGUGAAUGGAUUAGACUAAAGAGAGGGUUCGAGUGCUGAAAGGACCUGUCGAUUAUUUACCGAAUGUAACCCAUGAGCAGUUUCCGUGAAAGUGUGUUCAAAAAGAAAAACAUUUUUGAGCGUAGUAGCGGAAGCCGGUUUGAAGCCGUUAUCGAAGUUUGAGGUGCACAGCUCUUUUGUGUGCACGAAUAAAGGUGGUACCGCGAACAGCUCCUUCGUCCUUUAA
rnacentral:ncRNA from 1 species